rnacentral:rRNA from 1 species
UGCGGAAUUUUGGACAAUGGGGGAAACCCUGAUCCAGCCAUCCCGCGUGUGCGAUGAAGGCCUUCGGGUUGUAAAGCACUUUUGGCAGGAAAGAAACGUCAUGGGUUAAUACCCCGUGAAACUGACGGUACCUGCAGAAUAAGCACCGGCUAACUACGUGCCAGCAGCCGCGGUAAUACGUAGGGUGCAAGCGUUAAUCGGAAUUACUGGGCGUAAAGCGUGCGCAGGCGGUUCGGAAAGAAAGAUGUGAAAUCCCAGAGCUCAACUUUGGAACUGCAUUUUUAACUACCGGGCUAGAGUGUGUCAGAGGGAGGUGGAAUUCCGCGUGUAGCAGUGAAAUGCGUAGAUAUGCGGAGGAACACCGAUGGCGAAGGCAGCCUCCUGGGAUAACACUGACGCUCAUGCACGAAAGCGUGGGGAGCAAACAGG